AUUGAACGCUGGCGGCAUGCUUUACACAUGCAAGUCGAACGGUAACAGGGUGCUUGCACCGCUGACGAGUGGCGAACGGGUGAGUAAUGCGUCGGAACGUGCCGAGUAGUGGGGGAUAGCGCAGCGAAAGUUGUGCUAAUACCGCAUACGUACUGAGGUAGAAAGUGGGGGACCUUCGGGCCUCACGCUAUUCGAGCGGCCGACGUCUGAUUAGCUAGUAGGUGAGGUAAGAGCUCACCUAGGCGACGAUCAGUAGCGGGUCUGAGAGGAUGAUCCGCCACACUGGGACUGAGACACGGCCCAGACUCCUACGGGAGGCAGCAGUGGGGAAUUUUGGACAAUGGGCGCAAGCCUGAUCCAGCCAUGCCGCGUGUCUGAAGAAGGCCUUCGGGUUGUAAAGGACUUUUGUCAGGGAGGAAAUCCUAGUGGCUAAUAACUACUGGGGAUGACAGUACCUGAAGAAUAAGCACCGGCUAACUACGUGCCAGCCGCCGCAGUAACAC
rnacentral:rRNA from 1 species